UACGAAGGGUGCAAGCGUUAAUCGGAAUUACUGGGCGUAAAGGGUGCGUAGGCGGUUGUUUAAGUCUGUCGUGAAAUCCCCGGGCUCAACCUGGGAAUGGCGAUGGAUACUGGCGAGCUAGAGUGUGUCAGAGGAUGGUGGAAUUCCCGGUGUAGCGGUGAAAUGCGUAGAGAUCGGGAGGAACACCUGUGGCGAAGGCGGCCCCCUGGGCCGGCCCUGACACUGAGACGCGAAGGCGUGGGGAGCGAACGGG
rnacentral:rRNA from 1 species